rnacentral:rRNA from 1 species
UACGUAGGGGGCAAGCGUUGUCCGGAUUUAUUGGGCGUAAAGAGCGUGUAGGCGGUUAUGCAGGUCCGCUGUGAAAACUGGAGGCUUAACCUCCAGACGUCGGUGGAAACCGUAUGACUAGAGUCCGGAAGAGGAGAGUGGAAUUCCUGGUGUAGCGGUGAAAUGCGCAGAUAUCAGGAAGAACACCCGUGGCGAAGGCGGCUCUCUGGUACGUGACUGACGCUGAGACGCGAAAGCGUGGGGAGCGAACAGG